AUUAGGGUUAAAAACCCCUUCCCUCCUUUGUUCAGUGGGCUCUUGUGAUUGUAACAGGUGCAAACAGCACCCUUCUGCAGAAGCAAAAGUGCCUGGCUGAGAAAUUUUCUGUCUAAGUGCAGGUUUCUUUUGGCUACACUGAGCACUUGUUUCCAACAAAUCUGGGGGCUCAUCUGAGAUCCCACUCUCCUUUGGGAGGGGCUAGCGAUUAUCUUGCAUGGGGAGAUGCGUCCCACUGCCUUGUUGUGGUGGCCCAAGCAGCGGAGGAUCAAGUCCUGCCCAAAGUGAUGACUAAAUCCAGACUCUGAGCAAUGCGGGCAUAGAAGGAUCCUUAAGAACUCUACGGCGACCAGGUAUUCUCUUCUCAGAAGAGGAAAGAACCAUAAACCACAGGGCUGCUAUGAAAGUCUGCGAGUGCGAACACUCUCCUGGUCAAAAUGUCCUUGCAGCGGAGCAUAAAUGACCAGACACGGAUCCUCAGUGGGAUAACAACAACGUGG
rnacentral:lncRNA from 10 species